rnacentral:rRNA from 1 species
GUGAGUGGGCCAUCCCGAGUGCCGUCCGCUGAGGAUGGCUUUUCCUUAGUGUACAAAGCUGGGGGAAUAAGGAGAGGGCAAGUCUGGUGUCAGCCGCCGCGGUAAUACCAGCUCUCCGAGUGGUGGGGAUGUUUAUUGGGCCUAAAGCAUUCGUAGCCUGCUGGGCAAGUCCUCCGUUAAAUCCAACGAUUCAAUCGUUGGGCCGCGGGGGAUACUGUUCGGCUAGGGGGCGGAAGAGGUCGACGGUAUUCUCGGGGUAGGGGUGAAAUCCUAUAAUCCCGGGAGGACCACCAGUGGCGAAGGCUGUCGGCUAGAACGCGCCCGACGGUGAGGGAUGAAAGCUGGGGGAGCGAACCGGAUUAGAUACCCGGGUAGUCCCAGCUGUAAACGAUGCAGGCUAGGUGUUGGCGCGGCUACGUGCCGCUCCAGUGCCGCAGGGAAGCCGUUAAGCCUGCCGCCUGGGAAGUACGGCCGCAAGGCUGAAACUUAA